rnacentral:rRNA from 1 species
UACGUAGGGGGCUAGCGUUGUCCGGAUUUAUUGGGCGUAAAGAGCGUGUAGGCGGCCAGGUAGGUCUGCUGUGAAAACUCGAGGCUCAACCUCGAGACGUCGGCGGAAACCAUCUGGCUAGAGUCCGGAAGAGGAGAGUGGAAUUCCUGGUGUAGCGGUGAAAUGCGCAGAUAUCAGGAAGAACACCCGUGGCGAAGGCGGCUCUCUGGGACGGUACUGACGCUGAGACGCGAAAGCAUGGGGGAGCGAACAGG